GGGCGCUGGAGAACUGAGGGGGGCUGCUCCUAGUACGAGAGGACCGGAGUGGACGCAUCACUGGUGUUCGGGUUGUCAUGCCAAUGGCACUGCCCGGUAGCUAAAUGCGGAAGAGAUAAGUGCUGAAAGCAUCUAAGCACGAAACUUGCCCCGAGAUGAGUUCUCCCUGAGACUACAAGUCUCCUGAAGGAACGUUGAAGACGACGACGUUGAUAGGCCGGGUGUGUAAGCGCAGCGAUGCGUUGAGCUAACCGGUACUAAUGAACCGUGAGGCUUAACCUUACAACGCCGAAG
rnacentral:rRNA from 1 species